AUACGUAGGGGGCGAGCGUUGUCCGGAUUUACUGGGCGUAAAGGGUGAGUAGGCGGUUGUAUAUGUCAGGUGUAAAAGGCUAUGGCUUAACCAUAGUUCGCACUUGAAACUGUAUAACUUGAGUGCAGGAGAGGUAAGCGGAAUUCCUAGUGUAGCGGUGAAAUGCGUAGAUAUUAGGAGGAACACCAGUGGCGAAGGCGGCUUACUGGACUGUAACUGACGCUGAGUCACGAAAGCGUGGGUAGCAAACAGGAUUAGAUACCCUGGUAGUCCACGCUGUAAACGAUGAGUGCUAGGUGUUGGGUAGCGAUACUCAGUGCCGUAGUAAACACAAUAAGCACUCCGCCUGGGGAGUACGUACGCAAGUAUGAA
rnacentral:rRNA from 1 species